GGGCCAUGGCUCUGUGGUAGCGCAACUGCUUUGCAUUCAGAAGGUCCCAGGUUCAAUCCCUGGCAUCUCCA
rnacentral:tRNA from 1 species